CUUUACUAGGCUAAGGGGGUCGUUUGGUUCCCGUGUUAUCUCAAGUUCCAGCCGUAUAUCACACUUUAACCAAGUGUUUGGUUUCCAUGUUAGUUUUCGUUGGGCCCGUAGUCAGCCCGGCAGGCCCGCACUGUAGAUACUCUUCACAUAAGAUAUCUAACUCAGUUUUGGGGUGCCGUUUAUAAACAUGCCUUGUUAUUUGUGUGAAUAAGUCCCCUCUUUUCCUUUUUGCCCUUGUUACAAUCCCAAUUUUAAUUCAAAAUCAUCUACUCCUUGCACUAUGCUUCAAAAUUCAAGGUCGCAACAUUUCAGUGUAGCAUCAAAUUUGGCUUCACCAACGAACAAGGCAUGAAAGGUAAACUCAAUCCAGAUAUCCCUUCCCUGUUUCUUCCCCCCCUUUCUCAAAAUACCUCCGUUAAUGGAUAUCUGAAUACUGGAGGACAAGGAAAGUGGAGUCAGAUCUAGCAAUCCAAACCAUAAGAUCGGGAUAGUUUCUCUGAUAUCAGACGGUAGUAGGUAGUUGUAACAUACUCUUUGGUUUAGGACUCUAUGGACCGUGUUACCCAUACGGUUAUCCUAAUGGUUGAAGAUAUACUUACUUUGGUGCGUAUGCAAACGAUCAUCAUUAUGUAUUUACUCGCGAAAAGAAGAAGACGUUUUGCCCGUCGUGUGCGCAGCCGGACAGUUAGGUAUUCACUAAUUGACAGGAUCCCUCCCCAAGUAAGGCACAUGAAAUGGCUCACUUCAAUUAGUGAUGUGGACUGUUUUUCGAACCUCCGUAUGGAUAGGAAUGCAUUCGGUCAUUUGUGUAUCCUUCUAAGAGACCGGGGUGGGCUACAGGAUGGUCGAUCUGUGUUACUAGAAGAGCAAGCUGCAAUUUUUCAGGUAUCCUAGCACAUCAUAAGAAAAAUAGAAUUUCUGGGUUUGAAUUUCGGCGCUCGGGUGAAACUGUUUCGCACUAUGUGCAUCUUGUGCUUAAAGCAGUACUAAGAUUGCAUACAAUUCUGUUACCUCGUCCUGAUCCAGUGAUAGACAACUGUGUUGACCGGCGUUAGAAACACUUUAAGGGUGGUAUUGGAGCGUUAGAUGGAACAUAUAUAAAUGUUCUCGCGAAAAACGUAGAUAAGCCAAGAUAUCGCACGCGAAAUGGCCAAAUCACGACCAACACCCUUGUUGCUUGUGACCGAAACAUGAAGUUCCUAUAUUUUCUACCCUGCUGGGAGGGAUCGGCAGGUGACUCUCGAGUGCUUAGAGACGUUGUCACUAGAGAAGGGGGGUUUGCGAGUAAGCAAAGGUUGAUCAUAAAGUGCACAUGAAUUUGUUUAUUUCUACUUCAUCUUUACACUUACCAAUUGGCUGAUAACCAUACCCCCCAUCUUGUGCAUGUUCUUUUUUAGGAACUUAUUACCUACGUGAUAAUGGUUACGCUAAUUCAGAAGGUUUUCUAACACCGUACAAAAACGUCCGCUAUCACUUGAAGGAAUGGGGUGUCGGCGCACAACGCCCCCAGAAUG